GAUAGUUUGCUAAGUAUAGAAAUAAAAUGAUGCAAUGAAUUACCUUUGUUUCAAGUAGAAUCAUUUUGGUCUUCAUCACCACUGUCACUAGCUUGUGAAUGAUGUUGCUGUUGUUGUUGUGAAUGAUGUUGAUGGUGAUCUAGACUAUGAUUUUGGUCUGAAUUCAUGUUCAACCCACCUCGGGAAUACGCAUUCAAAGCUGCCAACAUCCCUAUGUUACUCUCACUCAUUCCCAAACCCAAAUGUUGUGAAGGCUGUUGUUGUUGUUGCAUUAACAUUGACCCAAGUUGAAGCGAAUUCGCUCUAGAAUUCUGCUGAAAUUCAACAUUCGCCAUCCUUGGCAAAAAAUGUAAAGGCGCUUGCAAAGUAUUCCCACUUCCGGGUGUGGCCGUUCCAGCAGUUUGAAACGGCCACAUUUGUUGUUGGUGGUGGGGUUGAGCCUCGUGUCCGGCCCCACCACCAGUACUAACACUAGUGGAAACCGGCAACAUCCAUAAAGUGUUGCCAGCAGCAUUUGUGGGCGCUUGUGCAACCGCCCACAUAGCUGUUGCUGGCAUCAUACCCCCAUGGUGCCGGAGCAUACUAUUCCCUGCUCCGGCACCAGUAUUCCCCUCCUUGUUAGACGGCGAAGGUGACGGUGAUCCAACCGCCACCUCGUUGUUCUGACCACCCUCAUCCUUAAACAAAUCUUCUCUAUACCUUUUCCUCAUAUAAUUCUCACUCCCAUCACCAUUUCCACCAUUAUUACCCCCACCACUCGAAAUCGCCUCAGCUAUCUGAUCAGCAGUCAUAAUAUGCUGCCCUUGACCAUGAACCUGCCCCUGACCAUGGCCCUGAUGAAAGCCCAUCAUUUGAGAAAACCCUUCUUCAAAAGGAUGAUGAUGAGGAGCAAGCGCCAAAGCGCCAUGAAAGUGAUGCGGCGCCGUCUUAGAAGACGGCGCCGUCAAACUAGAUCCACUACUUCUCAAGGAAACAUUAAGAGUUGAGAAAUUAGCAGGAAUAGUACCAGUACCAGUAGCAGCAAUAAUAGCAGGUUCAGCUUGCUGUAACAGCCACUCAAUAGUUUCACCAUCAGACUUAUGACCCAAUUCUCUAGUCAACUGGAACACCCUUGCAGCACACGUGGCAGGCAUGCGUAUCCUUCUACCUCGUCCGUCAACUUUGGUGUGCCGGUCUUUUGUUGACCUUUUUGGUGGUGGUGGUGCAACUGUAGCCACUUGUUGGUUGUUUUCUUUUAUGGGUUCUUCGGAUCUAGUUGCUAUAGCUAGUGAUGGGUCAACUGGUGGUGACGUGGCAGAUGGUGCCACCAUGGGUAGUGGUUGUUGUUGGUAGUGGUUGUUUGUUGGCUCCAUGUGUUUCUUUUUUAGUACUUGCUAGAAAAAGUUGUUCUUUUGUGUUUUUUUUUCU
rnacentral:lncRNA from 1 species